rnacentral:lncRNA from 1 species
UUCUAGACCGAAGGUAUUGUAACAUUUGUAUGACUUAUAUGCUAGUUAUCCCUUAAUGUAGUAAAUUGGUAUUUUAGUCUUUCGUAUCAUUCAAUUGCAAACUAUAUGAGGAAAUGACCUGGCCACUUAAAAAAAAAAGAUAUGUUAUCUUCAUCUUUACCAGCCUGUGUUUAAAACAAUAUAUAAUCUGUUGAGUUUACAUGGUUCCUUUUAAGAGUCUCUUUUAUUCACAUGCAAUUUCAAGUUCUACGAGCUUUAAAGGAUUUAUCUGACAAUUUCAGGAGACUUUUGCAAAGGAGUAUAAGUUGUUCCACAUCUUCAGAGUUUGCCAUGUCAUUAUUCUCCAUCUAAUAUCAAAUUAGGCAUGUUUAUUUUCCUUACAACUUGCAUAGACAUGCUUAAAAUCACAAGAAUUACACUAUAAUAAUAGUAUAUUAUCAAAAAAGCACAAGGCUUAUGCCAAUCACACAUUAUACUUGCGCCUAAUAUGUAACAUGGUGCAUGCAUCUCUACUUUGAUUUAUUAUAACUCUGGCAGCCUAAGCUUUAUGCAGAUGCUGGUGGCUAUGAUAUUAAUCCCUGGAAAAAUUUCGCUUAGAAUGGUCAUCAACAAAUGCAUUCUGCAACUUUCAAGGUAUAUAUUGUUUCUUCUUCUUUCUUUCAGAUAGGCUGUGUAAUUUUAUGUUUUAAGUUUCUCUUUUUUUUUUUGCUGUUAUGAAGAACUUUGAUUCGGUGGAUAAAUCACUUAAUUUAUUUAUGUAGAUAUGUGUGCCAAUUCUAAUUUUUAAAAGCUCCCUCUAAAAUUACUGCAUAUGUAGUUCUCACUGUUCACACUGUCAGCUGGGAAUUCAUGGCACUAGCAUACUUCCUAGCAAAAAUGUAGAACCCUGUAAAUUAUACUGCACGAUAUGGGGUGUGUUUUAAUUUAUCCCUUCUCUUUUUGGCUAAAGUCUACACUAUAUACACAUAGCGACAUCGCAAUGCAUAUUUCCAAAGCACAUCAAAAGUAUGUUCUAAAUGUAAGAUGUUGCAUACCCAUGUAGGACGCCUUUUUAGUUGUCAGUAGUCAAGUUAGUGUUAAUAAUGUAUUAGGUAUUUAAUCAAAAUUUUAUGGAAUAUCUUUGCUCCAAAGAUAUUAGAAAGAAGUGGUCCCACCUUUAGUACUCUGUUUAAACUUCAGAACAAAAAUCCUAUAGCCGAUAGGCUAUGGCUUAUUCCUUCUUCAGGUUAGUACUGGACCACAAAGUCUGAAUUUUGCUCAAAGAUAGGGCUAUGUUUGGCGGCCAGGGUUGCUAUUCGACUAGACUGGAACUCACACUUAAGUUUAUAUUUAGAUAAGUCAAUUUGUUAAAUGGGCUGAUUAUUAUACUUCUGGCUGAUAAUUGUUUACUAACCUAAGUGAGCUAAAACAAUUAUGAUUAGUAUAGGUGGAGAAGUGAUAUUUAUAUGCAUCCAGGUUUAAGUCAGUACAAUAUCUUAAGGUGACAAUAAUUCUAUUUGAAUUUGAUUUGCUGAAAAAUCUAAGAUGAACCUCAGUAAACAGACCUUAAACUUCCAGAGGCCCUAUGACAAACAUAGUAAUAUUUAACAUAGGUUAGCUUGGUGGGCACCAAAGAAAACCAUUAAUAAUGAAGUCUGCAUUAGGAAACAACAACUCUCCUCAGAAUAUACUGAAAGCUGGAACAGUUUUGGACUUCCAUUGACCGUUUGCUGGCUGGGGCCGCAUUUUCUGAUGUGUCAAGCAUAGUAUAUUCCACAUAAGCGCUUUGGUGUUGAUCUAUGAUUUUCUGAUGAGGAAUCCUAAUCAUCAAUAUUGAUAUUUUUGAAGUUUUAUUCCCAUUUGAAGAAAACCUUAGGCAAAGCAUUUCUCCAAGGCUCUUUAUUCUGGACAUGUGACUAUUCUUAAUGGGGGAUAAUUCUCCUCAAUAAUACUGAUGAGAAUCCACAUCCUAUCUGUGAUGCGAAAAAUAGCCGCUUCUUUUGAUUUUGAAUAUUCUCUUUUCUGCGAUGCCUGUUUUAGUGUUCUUCCUGUUAAUGCUACAACUGUAAACAUAAAUUAACAUUGUUGGACACUGAUUUAUAAACAUUUCAUCUCAGCUUUUCUAUAUAAAUAGUUCUUUAAUAUUUCUCUUUAAAUUGAUAGUUUUUACAAAUAAUAAAUCAGGAAUUAUUUAGUCCUUUUCUGGUAUUUCAAUAUUGUAUAAGUAAGGGAGGUGAAAAUUAAGGAGCAUAAGGAGCAUCUUUAAUGCGACUCAGCACUGGUUCUUUUGUUUCAGCCUAAUUUGGUCAAUAAUCAGCGCUCUAACCAACUCAGCUACAUGCCCUGAGGCUUUUUCAGCCUAGUUUUAUGUAAUAUAAGUUGGUAUCUGGCAUCGUUAGAAAACUACAUCUUUAGAUGGCACCAUUAGAAAAACGAGAACUUCUUCUUUAGAUGGCACCAAUAAGAAAAGGAACAUAUAGUACAAACUGUUCGUAGAUAUAAUUCACAAUAAUGUUUUAAUAAAUUAAUAUAGAAUAUAAAACUAAUUAAAAGGUAUAAUGAUACAGAUUAUGCAGAUCAGACCUUCUACAGGGAAUAUAAUAUUAUUACCUGUCACGAAGGAUGUUCAGAGCGUUGAGGAACUGGGGAUAUGUUGGAGAACAUGUGUGACUAAAAUAACUGUAACAUCUGGGUCAAUCUGUAUGAACCAGGCUUUUCCUUCCUCUAAUUAUAUACUUUGGACAAUUUUUGAAUGUAAGUUUAGAUUGCUAUAUACUAUUGGAGUCCUUAAGUUGGGCUUCCUGUAGUUUUGGUUGUAUCGGUGUAUCGAGUCAUUAAUUGUAUUUUAUUUCAUAUCAGUAAUGUUCAAAAAAUAGCUAAUUGGCACCACGUCCCUCUAGUGAUUAUCAGAGCUUAUCCUGUCGCCUAUACUAUUUAUUUUCUCUUGGUGUUCUAUCUGCUGUAAGGUUUAUAUGUGAUGGUUUAAUUGUUCUUGGCUGGUCCAAGAUUAUGACAUUAUCCCAAUAUUACAAGAAUAUCAGAUACCCAAUAUUUAUCUAGCAGGCGGAGAUGGGUUGUUUCGGGAAGCUGAGACUCUUAUUACAACUACAGAAAUGAUGCCAGAUGGUGUUAUCGUUGUGUAGGCUUAUGUGUAUUAUCUUUGUUGAUAAAACAGGGUUGUGAAUCAAGAUUAAUAUUUAUAUUUCAAGGGAAACAUAGCCAACGCAACUGAUUACUUUUUUGCAAUGUGGUUUGGUUUCUGUAGAUUUACGACUGACAAUCGGUUACUAGUUCAGUUGCUUGUGUUCUUAUUGCAGUUAGUUUGUAUAUGAAAAGUAGAAAUCCAGCACAUCUGGUUCAGAUACACACAAAAAGGAUAUUUGCAUCCCAUGCUUGGUCUAUACGGUAAAACAUUCAAACUUCGUUUUAUUGAUGCUUGAUUACACUAGUACAAGCUGUUUUUUUCUAUUUACACGAGCUUGCUAAUUUUUAGCAUCAUUGUCGAACAAUGUAAUUUCUUAAUUUCAUCCUUCAAUGUCAGAACCCUGGCUCUGCUUGAAGGAGUUUUGCCUCGCUGUUGCCAGAACGGUCUUGUCU